rnacentral:tRNA from 1 species
GCCUGGGUGGCUCAGUCGGUUGAGCGUCCGACUUCAGCUCAGGUCAUGAUCUCGUGGUUCGUGGGAUCGAGCCCCACGUCGGGCU